AAUGAACGUUGGCGGCGUGGAUUAGGCAUGCAAGUCGAGCGAGAAUCCGUCUUCGGACGGAGGACAGCGGCGCACGGGAGAGUAACGCGUGGAGUACCUGCCCCAAGGUCCGGGAUAGCUGCGGGAAACUGUGGGUAAUACCGGAUAACGUCUAAGGACCAAAGGUGUGAUUCCGCCUAGGGAUGGUUCCGCGUCCUAUUAGCUAGUUGGUGAGGUAACGGCUCACCAAGGCAAAGAUGGGUACCGGGUGUGAGAGCACGACCCGGCUCACUGGGACUGAGACACUGCCCAGACACCUACGGGAGGCUG
rnacentral:rRNA from 1 species